UCAGGAAGCCUUGGCACACAUAGCAGACCCAGGCGGCCCUAGACCCCCGGUCUGUGCUGUGGAGCCGUGAAUCGGCUCCAGUGAUCCUGGUCCCGGAGCAGAGGGCACCUGGCACGUGCAGUCUGCUUUUUUGCUUUAAAAAUAACACCGCUGUGGACAUUCCCACAAAAGUCCCUGAGCCCGCUGCUCGGGAAUUUCUCUGGGCCUGACAAUGGAGCGGAGGGGCCGGCCCCAGGCCUUCCCGAAAUGCAGCUGCCAAGUGUCCCCACCCGGCGGGGCGUGAGGGCCCCACACCCUGGGCAGCCACUCGGCUGGUCACUUUUUCAACCUCUGCCAACCUGCCGGCAUUUGUCUGUUGGGUUCUGUAUCUUUGUGUGAAGCCAAACCACACUUGCCACUCGUGGUGAGAGGCGGUUGCCCUGGAGUUUGCGUGCGAUACACACCUACAAACAAUGCAAGUGCACUUUCAAAUGGCACCGAGCACUCACGGCUGGUGUGAGGCCUUGUAAUAGCAAGGCAACCCUCCCCCGCCCUCCCAUCGCUGGAGGCACUGCGGCCACCGCCUGGCUCACAGACACGCACGUGGGCACAGACAUUCACACGUAACUGAACACGCUGCUGGCAUUAGCACUGUGAACAAGCCGACGCCUGCUGGAUCAACUGAGGAGAAGGAAAAGAGGUGCGUUACCGUAAGCCGCACGAGCGAGCUCCUGGGCGAGCCUGGCUUCCCCGCUGGAGGCCUCCUUUCCGUGCCGCCCCAGGCGCUGGGCGUUGUUUCGACUCCCCCCGUGUAUUUCAUUCUCACGUUGAAAAGCCUAGUGCUCCUGGCUCAGUGCUCUGCUUCGGCUUACCUGGUGCUGCAGCGACCAAGAGCUACCGCAUUACAGCAUCAUAAAUGUUUGUGGAACGAGCAGAAAGGAAGUCUCAUUUACCUUCGCCUACCUUUUCUCCAGGGCCCUCUCCUUCUCUCUGCAGGCCUGAGCUUCCUACCUGCAUCGUCCUCCUGCCCUCUGAGAACGGCCCUCUGCCCUCCGCCCCCCAUGUUUCUCAAAGAAAUACCCCAAUUUUUGCUUGUCUGAGAAGGUCCUUAUUUCUCCCUCCCCUCUGAAGGAUGAUUUUGCUGGAUAUGGACUCAGGCUGGUGGUUUCUUGCUCCCGCCUGGUGUCUGCGGAGCCGGUGUGACGCCUGCCUGAGUCUGGGGGUCUUUCCGCCGGCCCCUGGGCGCUUUCUCUGUCCUCGAUUGCCUGUGAUUUGAAGGGGACGCGCCUGGUGUGGGUUCUCCCCAUUUACCUUGCCAGGUGCUCACCUUGCUCCCUGGGGCUGUGGUUUCAGCUGGGGAAACUCUCUUCCCCGCAGUCUCCCUGUUUCUUCUGCUCCUUCGUCCCUCCUCCUCCUGGUGUCCCUCCUCUGCGUGCGGCACGCUCGUGGUGGCCCACAGCCCCUGUGCUCCGUCUUCUCCACCUGCUCUCCAUGCUCCUCCACCGUGCAGGCUUCGGGGGAGACCCCCAAGAGCACUGAGGCUGCUCCCUGGCCGAGUCCCGCCUGCCCACUCGCCCCUCGCAGGCGCUCUCCUCUGUUAUGUUUCCUGUCCUGGGGGCCUUCCUUGGUUCUUCCUUCAGCUCCCAGCUCUGCUCACCUGCCACCUGCUCCCGUGUGCUGAUGGCUCUGUCCUGGGAGCCCUUAGUGGGUUCACCGUUGUCGAUAAGCCCCUGGUCUGAUCACCCCAGCGUCUGGCCAGGUCUGACUCUGAUGCUUGCUCUGACUCUCCAGACAGUGUUUUCUGCCCUUUCGUGCGACUGGUCGUUUCUUCCUGACAGCCCGACACGAGGUGCUGGGUAAGGGACCCUCAGCGAGCCUGAGCCCCCGGAUGGUGAUCUUCCCGAGUUCUUCUGCUCUUUCUCCCCCUUCGGUGGGACAGGACGGCUGGAGAGGGCUGAGGGGGCGGGCUGUACCCUCCUGGGUCAGCUGGGCUCUGAUAAACCCCCAGAUCUGGCUCUGGUUAACUGGUUUCCCCGGAGGAAGGGCCUUGUUAAGGAGAGCACAGUGCUCCAGCAACCUCAGGAUCAUCCCUUUUCUCCUCCUCCUGCAGGAAGCCCCCGGGGAUUUUUCUCUGAUAUUUCUAUGGAACAGGGUCGAGCCCCUGGAGGUAAAUCUCGCGAUAUUGUAGGGCCCCUCAUGACUUGGUCCCCGGGGUUAGCUCAGAGACUUGUCCGCCCACAGCCACCACAGUUAGGUUUCCUGCCUGGCACUGGUCCUCACGGCUUUGCCCAUGACCCUUCUGGUUGCUGUUGAUCUGUUCUCAAUGCCCUUUGGCCUCCCCAGUCACAGGGCAGCGGUUGCCCUGUGACCUCCCCACCCCUCAUGAACCAGAGACAAGUGUCUGCCUUUUCCGUCUGAUCGUCUUCUUGUCGUGAGGACGGAUUGGUGACUCCCCAGCUCCUAGAAUGUGGAACCAGGGCCCGAAGUGGGCCUCCACUGCCGUCCAUCGGAUGCAGUCUGUCUGGGCCGCUUCAGCGCCACCGGGUCAUGAGGAAGACAGGGAUUAUGUAAAGCCCAUGGGCCCCUUUGAGGGCCUCCGGUUCUCGGACGCUGCUUGUCACUGCUGGUUGCUCGGGCCAACAGCGGUUUUAGGUCAAUUUCCUCUGCAAACAUUUUGCACAUCUCUUUUUUCCCUACUUGUUUCAUGUUUUCAGGCCUUUGUAAGUGAUACCUUUUCAAAUCUGUUUGUUGCUGGUGUUGAGAGAAGCAACGAACUUUCAUGUGUUGAUUUUGAAUCCAGCACGCGUCCUAGGCCUCCCAUUAACUUGGCCAUUUAUCUCUAUGUUCCUUAGCCCUUUCUACACGCAUCACCGUGUCCUUCGGGAAAAGUGAAAGUCUGCAUUCUCCUUGCCAAGCUUUGUACCUUUUAUUUACUUUUCGCACCUUGUGGCUUUGGCUGGGACCUCCAGAAGGACACUGAGCAAAAACGGUGGUGGGGAAGUCGAAUCUGCUUUGUCCUCGGAGCCGAGAGCUGGAAGCCGCCCACCUGUGCAUCUACGGGGCCGUGGUUUGUCCAGAGGUGGGGACACGACACACCGGCUGAGAGGAACAAACGGCAGAGUCGCACUGGUGAGGGCGGCAUGGCGCUGAGUGAAAGAAGCAGACUCGGUCUCGUCCUGCGGCUCAAGGAGGAGGAAGCUGAGUGAGUGAGCCCGCGGGGGGCUCUGGGGCAGGCAAGGCAACCUCUGGUUCUGCCUGGGCCCCGCGCCUCCCUGGAGCGCUGGCCUGAGGUCGGAAUCGCCUUCACUCAGAGGAGAGGCUCCUGGUGGCCCCAGGGGGUCAGGAAAUUCCGGUGACCGCGACUUAACUUUGGUGAGAUUUGCAUUGCUCACUUGUGUGCUGGACUCUGACAGAAGGGGCGUAAAUCAAUGUGACACACUUGUCUUUCAAACGUGGGCAGCAGACAAGAGACUGACACCCCGCUCCAGGCACACUGGCAGGGUGGCUGCUGUCUCCGGCCCUCACCCCACCCUGGAGGGUUCUUCCAAGAACCACAUGCCCGUUUCACAGGCCCAGCAGCCAGGGCUUCAGGGUUGGCUGCCUGCCAGCAAGGAGUGGGACAGGGUCUGACCAACCUCCCGCCCACACCGUCCCCAGAACAUCAGGGACCCCGGCACCUGGGCCUGCUGAUGGGAGCUGCUGUGGGGGGCGCCCGGAAUCACUUCUCCACCCCGGGAUGUCUGUGGGCACCAGGUUUGAGAACGGUUCCCCACGCGGUCCCUUCUCCAUGCGUCCAGCAGAACUCUAUCUGGCCUGCCAGCUGGCCACUGGGGAUCGUGUGUCCCUCCAGUGGCCAGCACCCUGGACAUCACAGAAGGGCAGAAAAGAAAGGGGAGCUCAUCUGUGCCCUAUGCAGACUCCUGCCGUGGCCACGGGCACUGGUGACCCCAGAGGUCGGUCAUCAUGACCGCUCAGACUGCAGACUGGGGUACCCAGGUCAGCCCGCAGCUUGGAGUCGAGGUUCUCCCAGCACCACUUUGGUCCUGGGCCAGCUGGUCUAUUUUCAUGCAGCCGCUCAGUGACUUCGGCUCAUUCAGGGGAGGGGAAGAGGGGACACUCUUUCCGAACCCACAGGCACUUUCUCCUGCAAAACGUGAGCCUAGAUUCGGCACCAGGGAAGACCCCAGCCAAGGACCCCGAGAUUCUCCCCAACAUCCCUGGGCAGCCGGGUCCCUCUAGACACUUGGUCCUGCGGCCAGGACGUGUCCUCCCAGAGCAGAGGCAGGAUGGUGCCGGGCGAGGGGCCAGGACAGCAGGCGCUCAGGAGGAGGGAGGACGGAGGACAUUCCUGGACAAGAGGAGACAUGGGCGGCUCUGCCAAAUUCCGGAUGUGGUUCCAGCACAGGCCUGGUCUUGCGGGGACGGGCGGCCCCUCCUGGCGCUGACAGCCAGGCCCAUAGGGCCGCCUGUCGGGGCUGCAGGUGGCCUAUUGGAGGCGGGAGCCCAGCCCUGGGGCUGGGAAGAUGGAUGGCAUUCCUGGGUGGGGGCCCCCUGCACCCUGGAGCCGGCCCCCAGAGUGGAGCUGGUGGCCGGUCCGCGAGCGUCGGUGGUGCUGCAGAACAUGUGGGGAUGCGCAUCCAGAGGCCCUGGCUCCGUCCGGGCCGGGGCACAAAGGCAGCUCUCACAGCCACACCAGCUGCGGUGCCAAGCCCUCAGAGGGCACUUUAUGACGCAUUAUCUCCUCUGUGCCCCACAACAGCCCUGCCAGGUGGGAUUUUUGCUCCCAUUAAACAGAUAAGGAGAUGGGGUUCUGAGAGGCGAGGGGGCGGCCAAGGUCGUGCAGGUUAUAAAGUGGCUGUGCCUGGAUUCCACCCCAGCCCACCUGGACAGAAGCCCACCCUCUUUAGCAGAGCAAUAAAUACACUCUUUGCUGAAGAAACAUUUUAAAAAGCAGUACUCGCCCGAGGGGAGGAGCCGGGUGGGGCACCGGUGGCUCCCAGCCCGGCUAGC